UAUUUUUAGUAGAGACGGGGUUUCACCAUGUUAGCCAGGAUGGUCUUGAUCUCCUGACCUCAUUAUCUGCCUGACUCAGCCUCCCAAAGUGCUGGGAUUACAGGCGUGAGCCACCACACCUGGCCCUAGGUUCAAAUCUUGUUAUCUUUCAUUAUUUUUCAGCUCACUUUGCAAAUACCCAUUAAACACCUGCCAUAUACCAAGUUGUUUUUCAACACCUAAAGGAAGGUAGAACUUGACGUGAGAGCCCUCUAGAAUUCUUAUUGUUUAGGCCUCUUUCUUUGUCUCAGGGCGUCCAGGGUGGUCGAGCCAAACGCUAUUCAUCCCAGCGGCAAAGACCUGUGCCAGAGCCCCCCGCCCCUCCAGUGCAUAUCAGUAUCAUGGAGGGACAUUACUAUGAUCCACUGCAGUUCCAGGGACCAAUCUAUACCCAUGGUGACAGCCCUGCCCCGCUGCCUCCACAGGGCAUGCUUGUGCAGCCAGAAAUGCACCUUCCCCACCCAGGUUUACAUCCCCACCAGACACCAGCUCCUCUGCCCAAUCCAGGCCUCUAUCCCCCACCAGUGUCCAUGUCUCCAGGACAGCCACCACCUCAGCAGUUGCUUGCUCCUACUUACUUUUCUGCUCCAGGCGUCAUGAACUUUGGUAAUCCCAGUUACCCUUAUGCUCCAGGGGCACUGCCUCCCCCACCGCCGCCUCAUCUGUAUCCUAAUACACAGGCCCCAUCACAGGUAUAUGGAGGAGUGACCUACUAUAACCCCGCCCAGCAGCAGGUGCAACCAAAGCCCUCCCCACCACGGAGGACUCCCCAGCCAGUCACCAUCAAGCCCCCUCCACCUGAGGUUGUAAGCAGGGGUUCCAGUUAAUAUGAGUUUCUGAAUAUUUUAAAUCUUAACAUCAUAUAAAA
rnacentral:lncRNA from 1 species